GAAAUGCGAUAAGUAAUGUGAAUUGCAGAAUUCAGUGAAUCAUCGAAUCUUUGAACGCACAUUGCGCCCGCCCGUAUUCUGGCGGGCAUGCCUGUUCGAGCGUCAUUUCAACCAUCAAGCCCCCCGGGCUUGUGUUUGGAACCUGCGGCUGCCGCAGGCCCUGAAAACCAGUGGCGGGCUCGCUGUCACCCCGAGCGUAGUAGCGUAAACCCCGCUCAGGGAGUGCGGCGUGUCCCUUCCGAAAAAGGCGUCGUACGACACCCCAAGGUUGACCUCGGAUCAGGUAGGAAGACCCGCUGACCUUAA
rnacentral:misc_RNA from 1 species